GGAGAUACAGCUCAAGUGGUAGAGCACUUGUGUAGCAAACAGGAGACCUUGAGUUCCAUUCACAGUAUCACCA
rnacentral:tRNA from 1 species